rnacentral:misc_RNA from 1 species
AUCGGAUCACGCACCUGGGAUACAUACAGUGAACCAUACAAGAAAAUAAUGUGAGAAAUAAGCAGCAUAAACUGGAUUUUCCCAUAAGAAUCCAAUAAAGAUAUAGAAAGAUACAGAAACAGUAAUGGGAAAACAAAUGCCCUUCUGUAACACAGCAAAUUUUAUAAGGUAACAGACCAUAUACUCUUUCGUGGCAACAAAUUCAACAGUUCCCCUGCAUAGCUC